rnacentral:rRNA from 1 species
CGUUCUGUAAGCCUGUGAAGGUGUGCUGUGAGGCAUGCUGGAGGUAUCAGAAGUGCGAAUGCUGACAUAAGUAACGAUAAAGCGGGUGAAAAGCCCGCUCGCCGGAAGACCAAGGGUUCCUGUCCAACGUUAAUCGGGGCAGGGUGAGUCGACCCCUAAGGCGAGGCCGAAAGGCGUAGUCGAUGGGAAACAGGUUAAUAUUCCUGUACUUGGUGUUACUGCGAAGGGGGGACGGAGAAGGCUAUGUUGGCCGGGCGACGGUUGUCCCGGUUUAAGCGUGUAGGCUGGUUUUCCAGGCAAAUCCGGAAAAUCAAGGCUGAGGCGUGAUGACGAGGCACUACGGUGCUGAAGCAACAAAUGCCCUGCUUCCAGGAAAAGCCUCUAAGCAUCAGGUAACAUCAAAUCGUACCCCAAACCGACACAGGUGGUCAGGUAGAGAAUACCAAGGCGCUUGAGAGAACUCGGGUGAAGGAACUAGGCAAAAUGGUGCCGUAACUUCGGGAGAAGG